GAUGAAGAACGCAGCGAAAUGCGAUAAGUAAUGUGAAUUGCAGAAUUCAGUGAAUCAUCGAAUCUUUGAACGCACAUUGCGCCCCUUGGUAUUCCGAGGGGCAUGCCUGUUCGAGCGUCAUUAUAACCCCUCAAGCUUAGCUUGGUGUUGGGGCUUGCUGGAAUAGAGCAGCCCUUAAAAUCAGUGGCGGUGCCAUUAGGCUCUAAGCGUAGUAAUUCUUCUCGCUAUAGGGUUCUGGUGGAUGCUUGCCAUUAACCUCUAAUUUUCUAUGGUUGACCUCGGAUCAGGUAGGGAUACCCGCUGAACUUAAGCAUAUCAAUAAGCGGAGGA
rnacentral:misc_RNA from 1 species